GGAAGAGAAAGAGUGAAAAAAAGUACAGAGGCUUUAAUUGCAGAGGGGUCCCUCCUCACAUAGUAUUCCAAAUACGGACCUCACCGGUAAGUUUAUUACUUGAAUUGACCCGUUCAUUUACCUCUUUGCAUUAAAUAUCUUUCUUCCCCAUUUAUGUUUUUCUUUUAUUAAACAGAAAAUACAUUGUAUCCCUCUACUACUCCUAUUAGUUUUUGCUAAAAAAAGGUUUAAAAUCGAAAUUAAAAACCAACAUUAUAUGCUUGCCAAUGACAAGUUGUCACAUCUCUAGCUAGGAAAUUAGGUGAAGAAAGUUAGGAGAUGAAAUGAAUGAAGGCAUUAUUGCAUUGCCUAAUACAUCAAUGAUUCAUAGGUAUUGUCCUAUUUUGGCAUUAAAGUCAACUACACAAACUUCUAGAUUAGUAUAGUCUCUUAUUGUGACAUUUGUUGUCACCUUAUCACACAAAAUCACAACUACUUUUAUUGCAUAAUUUUUUUUUAAAUAAACAUAGUAAUGAUUCAUGGAAAAGUGAAAACUAUAUGUGGAAAUCACUGGGAGCACCUACAAUUCAAGGUAUGUGACUUUAAGAAAGUUUCAAAAGUUUUAUUAGAGAGACGAGAUAAGACCUUAUAAUAAUAUAGGCUUGACAUGGAGGUUUCAACUAUUAUUGUUAAGAAGCUAGCUCUGUGCACAUGAAAGCAUUAAAAACAUUGAGGUGAGUACAUGUCGAAGUUUGUCGAUGAACAAGGUACACAGUAAAAACCCAACACCCACGUGGGUUGGUGUGACUCUUUUGUAGGUUUAAUCACUUUCCACUUCGACUUAUGAUUUGGCAAGUCAAUUCAAGCUUAAAUGCUUUUGGUUAUCCAUUACAAGGGUCGACCUAAGUAACAUUUCAGGUUUGCAAAAUGUCUAACCAUAUAUAUUGGUGUUGAGAAGUGAUGAUAAUGGGGAACACUCCCACCAAUGGCUCUGUUCUGUUACUGAGGCAUCCCUAGCAAUUUUUACCAGCUCUGCAAUCAUUAGUUGACACUCUCGUUAAAACCUAAACAAAAGAUCCAAGUCCAAAGGCAAGAGCUCGAUUCAAAGAACUAAUGUCCAAAGGAGAUCAGGGUUUCUAUGUUUAGUAAAAACGUAAGAACUAUGAACUAAAAUGAGACUGAAGCUAGUUAAACUUUACUUCUAUACCUCAGCAUUUCUUCUGUGUCCUGAAGUAUUAAAUCCAUAAUCAAAUAAUAAUUCUCCAAAUGUGUCAACUUUAACCAGAAUUGAUUUACACUUGGUUCCUUUUUUUUUUGUAAAGUGAUGAUCAAUCAU